AAGAGGGUCAUUCAGGGACCCAGGCUGACAGUGUGGUCACCAUCUCAAAUGUUGCCUGUCACCUUGCCUGAGAGAAAAGAGGAUCCCAGGGUAUUGUGCACUGGUCACCAAAAUGCAGGAUGUCACAAGAGCCAGAGCUUAGAGAAAUUAAGGAACCUGCUCAAGAGCACACAGCCAGAGGUGAUGGGACGGGGAUUUGAACACAGUUCUGGGGCCUCAGAACCUGUGUAUGCAGCUGUGCCUUCUACUCUCUGACCUGCAGAUCUCAUGGUUUUAUAAAUUUGGCAGAGGCUGUCAAAAGAACUUUUCCACCAUCUUUGGUCUUACACUGGAGCAUAGAUGUCAGAGGAUUCCCAGGAUAAUCAGAUUGGCUGCUUUUAAAUGAUGAAGAUUAAAAAUGGGUUUUAGACUUUG